rnacentral:rRNA from 1 species
UACGUAGGGUGCAGGCGUUACUCGGAAUUACUGGGCGUAAAGCGUGCGCAGGCGGUUUGCUAAGACAGGUGUGAAAUCCCCGGGCUUAACCUGGGAACUGCGCUUGUAACUGGCAAGCUAGAGUGUGGCAGAGGGGGGUGGAAUUCCACGUGUAGCAGUGAAAUGCGUAGAUAUGUGGAGGAAUACCGAUGGCGAAGGCAGCCCCCUGGGAUAACACUGACGCUCAUGCACGAAAGCGUGGGGAGCAAACAGG